rnacentral:lncRNA from 1 species
UAAAUGUCCUUGUUCUUUGUGACGUGAUUUGUAACUCAAUUUUGUAUAACUAUUGAUCAUUUUCUAGGGGAAAAGGUGACUACCAAAUUGAUUAUGUGCCUGCUCCACGAAUCACAGAAGCUGACAAAACCAAUGACCGGAGGUGUGUCUUUUUAUCUGGUGUUCUGGUGUUGCUUGAAUUAAUGGUUAUCUCCCUUUCUUUUUUGCAAGGCAUAAUAUCAUAAGAUUGAAGAAAACUGAUGGGUGGUAAAAACAUGAAUUCAUGGUUGUGCGAUGGCACUCUUUUUCUUUUUUAAAAUAAUAUGGGUUCAUAAAUCAAAGAUAUAUAGUAUUUAGUGGUCAUCAGGAUAGUCAAAUAUUUCCGUGCAUUGGGCUGUAUUUGUGCCAUAUAUUUGGCUCACGAUCCAUGGAUUAUGACCCAUCACAGUUAGGGCUUGUAUGGUCCUUAGACCACUCGCCUUCUCUCUGUUCUCAUCUGGUACCUUCCCAUCCGUUCUUCCACAUGCUUGUUGUCUUCUUUUAUUAUUGUAUUGAUCCCAUUCAAGAGAUUUUAAUGGUCCUUUGUGUAAUCUCUGAACCAACUGUUGAUCUGAUUGUUUGCCCCUCAAAUGGACCUCACCCUCCAACUGUCAUUGUCAUGCAUGAAAUCUGGAUUUCUACAUGGUAUAUAAGCUUUCUUCCAUGUAAACCCCCCUACUAAAUUUUCUCACCCAUUUACAUCUUUUUGGGAGUAAAUUUGUAUAAACAUAAUAAAAAAUAUUAUUCUUUUUUGUUGGGCCUCAAUGUUGAUGUUGUACUGUUGAUAACUUGACUAUUAUGAAAGAAAUGUAUACAUUAUCUCCAAAGAUUGGUCUAGCAUGCGUGUGUGCACCAUUUAUUGGUAAAGAUGAUACGGUCUCUCUAUUGCUGCUUCUCCUUCAACCAAAAACUGUGCUAAUGGUUUGUUUUUUGUGAAGAUCAUCACUUUACUAAAAGGUUGGUUUAGUUGCUAUAUGGUAUCCACGUCGGAGAGUAUAUUGGAAAGCAAAAAAGGAAGAAGUAUGUAACUUCUAAAUAUUCUGUUGGAGGUAAUGCUAAGUGCUAAGUCUUACGACUUCAGUUAUUCAGACGCUUACAUUGUGAGCUGGCUGUUGAGCAAGUGCCAAGGUGCAUAUAUAUUCGGUAUGAUGUUUCUCUAUGUAUCAAAGGAAACAAUUUGAGGGGGUUAAGAAAUUGUAUUUAAUUGAUAAAAUCUGACAGUAUUUGCAAUUGUAUUUAAUGAAAAAAGAAAACUCUAGAAGGGUACAUUAAACAGA